CCAGGAGGCUGUCUGUCACACCA
rnacentral:miRNA from 1 species